rnacentral:rRNA from 1 species
UACGGAGGGUGCGAGCGUUGUCCGGAAUCAUUGGGCGUAAAGGGCGCGUAGGUGGCGGGACAAGCGUGCGGUGAAAGCCUGGGGCUCAACCCCGGGUCGGCCGUGCGAACUGUUUUGCUUGAGCACUGUAGAGGCAGGCGGAAUUCCGGGUGUAGCGGUGAAAUGCGUAGAUAUCGGGAGGAACACCUGUGGCGAAAGCGGCUCACUGGACCACAACUGACGCUGAGGCGCGAAAGCUAGGGGAGCAAACAGG